GUGCUUGCUUUGGCAGCACAUAUACUAAAAUUGGAAUGAUACUGAGAAGAUUAGCAUAGCCCUGCACAAGGAGGACACACAAAGAAAAAAGAAAUUAGAGGGCACCACAGCCAAUAUCU
ensembl:snRNA U6 U6 spliceosomal RNA